rnacentral:rRNA from 1 species
UACGGGGGGAGCAAGCGUUGUUCGGAUUUACUGGGCGUAAAGCGUCUGUAGGUGGUCAAAUAAGUCAACUGUUAAAUCUUGAGGCUCAACCUCAAAAUCGCAGUCGAAACUAUUAGACUAGAGUAUAGUAGGGGUAAAGGGAAUUUCCAGUGGAGCGGUGAAAUGACGUAGAUAUUGGAAAGAACACCGAUGGCGAAGGCACUUUACUGGGCUAUUACUAACACUCAGAGACGAAAGCUAGGGUAGCAAAUGGG